GGCUACCUGGCGCAAUGGUAGCGUGUUUGGCUUCGAACCAAAAGGUUGCAGGUUCGAGUCCUGCGGUGGUCA
rnacentral:tRNA from 1 species